AAAAAUAAGAGAGCUAAGCGAUAGAAAAAUCUGAAAAAUAAAAAAUAGCACAAAAUUGAGGAAAAAUUACUGUUUUAUUGAAGUUCUAGUAGUUUUGUGCUGCUUUUCAAACACCUGAAAAGCAUUACAUCUUCAUUAUUGGAUUUGGAAUGGUGUUAUUUUGGAUAUUUUAGAAAGGGUUUUGGUUUGAAGUUUGGUUGAAUUUAGUGUUCAUCAAAUUCUUUUGUGAUACCCUCAAUUCUGAUUCAUGAAAUGGUUUCUGAGUUAUAUGGGUUGAGAUGGUUCAAGUUUUGGUACUUUGUUUGAAAAACACUGGUUAGAAAUCCUAAUUUUAGAUCUGUGAUUGCUGGGCAUCAAUUUAUUUGUGUUCAAAGCUGUUUUCGUGGUUUAUUUUUCUUGUUGGGACCCUGUUGUUACUGCUUCUGUUGAUCUUUGCUCCCACUACCCUCUGCUGUUCUUUUUCAGAAUCUCCAGGUAUUUCUUUAGCUCAUGGUUGAAACAUUAGUGUUGAUAUACGUAAUGAUCUGAAGUUUGGUCAAAUGAAGACCUUGUUUGAAGCUGAAUUCCCAUUCUUCUUUUAAUAUUUUUGUGUUUUGUAACUAGAUUUCCAAUUAUAGAUGUUGUUCAAGACUCUUCUCUUUCAUCUAAAAUUUAGUAUGUGAUGGUUAAAUUGGUAUUAUAUUUGCACCUGCGUCAGUGCGUGAAUCAUGGGUUUUGGUCAUUUGGACUCACGCUUGAUGUUGAAUGUGGGUUUUAUAUUUGAAAACGAAAAAAGCUUUCUACUAAGAAUCACGCAUGUUUUGUCUUGAAGGUCACCAUUGUAUUUGCAAUUUGGGUAUUAUUUCAAGUUAUGUUUGAUUUUAGUGUAAACGUUGGUGUUAUGAGUAGUGCUUAGUUCCUUAUGUAAUGUGUCGUGUUUUAAUGUGUUUAUUUCCAAUUAAUUGGAUUGAUUUAUAAAGUUAUCCAUUGGUUAUACCUUGUGAAUGUCGUUUCUGAUUCUGUACUGGGCCUGACAAGAGGCUGGGCCUUCUUCAAGAGAGAAAAACUAGACUCUACUUGUAAUAGUCCAGUUGAGGCCUGCCUGGUGGUUUUGGCCCAGUUCGUUGGUCGAUGUACUCAUCUGACCAUUUCGUUGGGUUUGAUCUUGGAUCUUAUCGUGCCACACUUGGUUCUAUUUGAUUUUGUUAAUUUUAGGGGCAUAGAAUGAACGUCUUUAAUAAUACUUGGACUUUAGUUUGUUCAAAUUAAGUUUUUUUAAAAUAAUUGAGUUAAAUCGUGUUAGUAACAAAAACGAUUAUGGCCCUCCAAGUAUUGUUAAAUUAAUCCUUUUAGUUUAGAUUUGGGUGUGUCAUGCCAAAUAAAACCCCAAUCUCAUGGCCCUCAUUUAAUUAAAUUCGUAGUGAUUCUUAGAAAUCGAGGCUUUCCAUUUAGCGAAUUUUCAUGGCCCCUCGUAAAUCUAAAAAUGCAUAAUUGCUUUACGCGCGCAAGUUAAUAAUGUAUUUUCCUAAAUUUGGGUACGCAUUUAUGUGAACCAUAUCCAAUCUCAAAGGUGUUAAAAUAUAUCAAAAAUCAUGGUUGCAUUUAUGUGAUGUAAUUUGAGACGUAUUUUAAUAAUGUCGCAAAUUUUCUCUAAAAUGAAUAAAAACAGCUAAAGUUAAAAAUUGCACAUGGGUAUAAAAUAUAAUAAAAUUAGAAAAUUAAGCCAAAUAUAGCAGUUGUGAGAUCGUGCUAGAACCACGAAAUUCAGGAGUUCCUAACACCUUCUCUCGGGUUAACAGAAUUCCUUACCCGGAUUUCUGGUUCGCAGACUGUUAAAUAGAGUCAAACCUUCCUCGAUUCAGGAUUUAAACCGAUGACUUGGGACACCAUGAAUUAUUCCAAGUGGCGACUCUGAUCUUUAGAUAAAUGAAUCCUGUUUCGAUUAUCCUUAAAUUGGAAAAACUUCCUUAUCUACGCCCUUCACAAUGGUUGUAGAUGUUAAAAAGAAGGUGUGACACCAGGUUAUAGAGGAUCUGCCACAGGCUUUUUCCACUGUUAAUUUGUAGAAUACAUAGGCUGAAGAUGAAGCUGUGUAUGUUAACUCUGGUGCAAGCAGAGACAUAGCCAAUUCAACAGGUAAUUUAUCAAACCUUCAACCUUAUAAUGAUUCUGAUAAGAUAUAGUUGGGGAUGGCUCUAAACUUGACAUCACACAUAUUGAAAUUUAAUAUAAUCUGGACUUAGAGUAAAGAAAAUUCUUGUUGUUCCUAAGAUUAAGAAGAAACUAUCGUUAGUUAGUAAACUUGCUAAGGACAAUUCUUGUACGCUUGAGUUUAAUGAAUCUGAUUUUGUUGUAAAGGCCAAGAGCUUAGGGAGUCUUCUGGUCAAGGGAUCUAAGAAGAAUGAUAUAUAUGCAAUGGAAGACUAUAAAUUUUAUGCCUUAUCUGCAUCAAAGGAGUGGAAGAAUACAGAUAGUAUUUGGCAUUCUAGAUUAGGUCACCCUAGCUUAAAGUCUUUAAUAAUUUUUAGUAGUAACAAGUGUAUUGAUGUCAAGUACUGGAAUAAAGCUCCUACUAUUUGUGUCCGUUUUCAGUUAGGAAAAAGAUGUAAGCAUCCAUUUGAAUUGAGAAGUAAGAUUGAAAAAAGCCUUUAUUUAAAAUUCAUUAUGAUCUUUGGGGUCCAGCUCCUGUUGAAUCAUCUCAGCACAUGAGAUACUAUGUAGUGUUUGUUGAUAACUGUACCAAAUAUACCUGGUUCUAUCCACUAAGAAGGAAAUCUGAAUUCUGUGAUAUUUUUGUUAAGUUUCAAAAGAUGGUUGAGAAACAACUUACGAAGACUAUUAAGAUUAUUUGAGUGUGACGGAGGUGGUGAAUAUAAUAGCACUGCAUUUAAUGAACAUAUUUAUAACUGUGGUAUUGUUAAACAUAUAUCAUGUCCUCACACACCUGAGAAAAAUGAAGUCUCUGAGAGGAAACCGAGACAUAUAGUAGAAACUGGUCUGACCUUGAUGUUUCAUGCAAAGCUGCCACCGUUUGUUUGGGUAGAGGCCUUCUUUACAGUUGUAUUCUUAAUUAAAAAAAUGCCUUGAUCAGUGUUACAAAUGAUAACUCCAUUCUUUAAGCUAAGGAGCCAGAGACUAUAAAUGAGGCACUCAGCUCACCAGAAUGGCUUGCUGCUAGGCAAGAGGAGAUAGAUGCACUUCACCAAAACAAGACUUGGAUAGUGGUGCCUAAGUCACCUAGUAUGUAUAUACUUGGUUGCAGGUGGGUGUUUAAAACCAAAAUAAAGGCUGAUGGAUCCAUUGACAGGUACAAGUCAAGUCUAGUUGCCAAAGGUUAUUCACAGCUUGAAGGAGUAGACUUUGCGGAAACCUUCAGCCUAAUUGUUAAAGCAACCACUAUAAGAGUAGUUCUUAUAGUAGCUGUGAGUCUCCACUGGUGUAUGAGGAAACUAGAUAAAAAUAAUACAUUUUUGUAUGGACAUCUAUAUGAGGAGGUGUACAUGAGUCAGCCACUAGGUUUUAAAGAUUCUAGACAUCUUGACAGUGUGUAUCUCCUAAAGAAAGCAUUGUAUGGUCUUAAGCAGACACCUGGAGCCUGGUUUGACAAGUUCAAUUUGCACCUGCUCCACCUUGGUUUUAAGUGUAGUAAGGCAGACUCCUCGCUUUUUGUGAUGCAUAAUAAAAGAGGAACAAUCCUUCUCCUUCUAUAUGUUGAUGAUACAAUUGUCAGUGGAAGUCACAUUGCACUAAUUUCAAAAAUUAUUUUUGAACUAGGAAAGGAAUUUGCUAUGAAGGAUCUUAGACCUUUGCACUUCUUCUUAGGGAUUGAGGUCACCUACUUUACUGGAGGUAUCCAUCUGAAUCAAAUUAAAUAUGUUUCAAAAUUACUUGCCAAGACUAGCAUGGCACUUCCUAAGCCAAUAAACAUAUCUCUAGCACAGAAGCAUAGUUGACAAGAAGCUGUAGAUGAUCUAAUUGAUGCCUCACUAUACAGAAAUGUUGUUGGUAGUAUGUAGUAUUUGACUCUCACAAGGUCAGACAUAACUCAUGCAGCAAACCAGAUAACACUCAUUUCCAAGCUGUAAAGAAGAUCCUUAGGUAUGUGAAGGGCACAACUGAGUAUGAUAUGAGAAUCUUGUCUUAGUCACCAUUCAGGCUAAAUGGUUUCUAUAAUGCAGACUGGGGAAGGUGACCUAUGACUAGGAGAUCAACUACAGGCUACAAAUGUCUAUCCCUAACAAGCCGACUGGUCAUUUUGAGCAAUUGCACUUUUCUCAGUUGUUUGAGGGCAUGAGUAGCUUUGUAAGAAGUAUAAGACUUAUAUGAAUCGUCGGUUUUGAUUUUAAGGUUAUUCUAAAUUGAUUUGGAAGAAGGAUUCUUAACUAGAAUUUUUAAAUUUGAAAGGUUUAACCAAGUUUUGGCUUUUUAGAAUUUGACCUUGGUUUAGAUUUUAGAUGGUUUUGUUAGCUCCAUUGGGUGAUUUUAGACUUAAGAGCGCGUCUGAAUUGUUAUUUGGAGGUCCAUAAUAGAAUUUGGCUUGAAAUAGAGAAAGUUAGAAUUUUGGAAAGUUUGGUAGAGAGUGGACUUUUUGGCUUGAAAUGUUACUUGCGUGCAAAAGUUGAGGUUAGUUGGACAUGAUUUUAUAGGUUUCGGCGUCGGUUGUUUAAGUUUCAAGUUCAUUGAUUUUGAAUUAAUGUGUGAUUCAUCAUUUAUGUUGUUAUGUGUGCUUUGAGGCCUCAAGUAGGUCUGUUUUAAUAUGAGACUUGUUGGUAUGUUUGAACAGGGUCUUGAGGGGCUCAGGUGAGUUUCGGAUAGGUUUGGAUUGUGUUGCGCUCAUUUUUUAUGUUUCGCCGUUGUUUUUUAAGCAUAAAUAUUACUACAUUGAGCAAAUGAGCUCUGAUUUCUAUUUUUAUUGAAACAUUAAAUCUAUAUCGUAAUUACAAAGUCAUAUAAAAAAUAAUCAUCGAAAUUUGGAUAUCAUAUAAGAAUUUUAUGAUUAUUUUACUAUGAAUUGGGUUGCUAGAUUUUUCAGAUUAAUUACGAAAUCUCCACUGAAUUCGUAUUUAAAAAUCUACACUAUUUUCAAAUAUUGAAACCAUCAUAUCUCCUUCAAUAUAAGGUCAAAUGGAGUGAUUCAAGAGUCUAACAUGACUAAACUUUUACAAAAAAUGCAGUGGAGGCAUUAAAAGUGAGGUUAGGUCUUGUUUGGCAUGAGAAUCGAGGCAAAAUAGCUAGCAAAAAAAUAUACAAAAUAUUGAUUUGUUCAUUUGGUGAUAUUUUGAGUUGGAGAGCUCAGAUUUAGGCAAUUUUGGAGGUGAUUUUUGCCAUAUGUAUUGGCGUAAGUGUUCUCUACUCGGUUUUAAUUAUAUUUAAUGAAUCCAUCUUCAUUUUUUGUAUUUGAUUGAUGAUUUCAAAAUGAAAUUUGGGAGUUUUGCCUAAAUUUUGAUAAAGUGAAUUUCUAAAUUUUGAACAUCAAUUCAGAGUCGAAAUUGGAUGAACUAGUAUAAUUGGACUCAUAAUUGAGUGUGUUGUCGAUUUUAUGAGCUUUAUAGGGUUCCGAGAUGCGGGCUCGGGUUGGGCUUUUCGGUUGAUUUCAGGCUUUUGAUUAAUGAUUCGACCUUUUUCGAUUGAGAUUUGGUUGUUUUGAUGUAUUUGAGUUGUUUUUCGUUAGUUUCGAGCCAUUCGAAGGUCGGACACGCGAGAUGGCAUAUUAGAGCAUCGCCUGGCUUGUUCGGCAUUGGAAUUGGCUUGUUUGAGAUAAGUAAUGAUUGUAAAUCUUGUCUUGAGGGUAUGAAACCCUAGCUUUCACAUUGUUUCACUACUUUGAGGUGAUACACACGCUAGACAACGAGCGUAUGGGCGUGCACCAUUAGGUAUUAUGACUUGGUUUGUCUCGUACAACUAUUAGUUCGCGUAUUUGAUUGAAAAUUAUUUGAUACUUUUGGGAAGUAUUACUAUGUUUUGUAAUGGAUGUCAUAUUUGGGCCUCGUGCCAACUUUUGGACCCUUAUGGGCCUUUCACUACUAUUCCUCAUUGUUUUUACUUAAUAUUUGCAUUUAGUCAUGCUGUGUUUUACUAAUUUUAUUACUCAACCUUAUUUACUCAGUUUUGAUACUAUAAAUGAUAUUUUGGGCUGAACGCCCUAUUUUACUGUUAGCCUGAGUGCCUUGAGAUAUUUUUGACUAAGUGAGGUCGAGAGUCUGUGUUGUGAGGAUAUUAUGUGAUCGGGCUUCACACCGCAACAUAUUAUUAUUGAUUCAUAAUAUUAUAAGGCUGAGGUCCUGAUUGAUCAAUGACACAAGGUGGCUGAGACCGAGGGCCUCAUUGAUUUAUGCCAUGAGGUGGCUUGUUAUAACGCUUGGGCUGUAGGAUCCCUUCUGGAGUCUGAACAACCCAAUAAGCACAGGUACCUAUAGUGAGUGAUAUGAUGUUGCCCGAGGGGUUGAUCUUGAAUUAUGUUAUGCCCGCAGGACUGAUACGAGUGAUUGUGAGAUAGCUAGAGGGGCUAGUUCUGUUGAUAUUAUUCCCGAGCGGGGGUUUAUGAUACAUGUCUUGCUCGAGGGGCUGUUUGUGAUUUAUUUUGCCCGAGGGACUGUAUACGGCUGAGUUUUGCCCGAUGGGCUGAUUAUGUUUUCACUAUUUUUACUCACCAUUUUAUCACUUUGUUAUGAAAAAUUGUUGAAAGACAGUUUCAAAGAAUUUUUACUGAAAUUUGAUUUUUAAUGAGAUGACUUGAUUCAUAUAGUGUUUUGGGAACAUCCUGUAGUUGCUGUUGUGUUAUGACGUGGAUUGUGUGUUUUCUUACUGCUCAGUCUUUAUUUACUUUUAUUACUUACUGAGUUGGUGUACUCACAUUACUCCCUGCACCUUGUGUACAGAAUCAGGUAUUUCUGAACCCCGUAGCGGGUGUUGAUUACUCA
rnacentral:lncRNA from 1 species